AUUGAACGCUGGCGGCAGGCUUAACACAUGCAAGUCGAGCGGGGUGAUGGUGCUUGCACUAUCACUUAGCGGCGGACGGGCGAGUAAUGCUUAGGAAUCUGCCUAUUAGUGGGGGACAACAUCUCGAAAGGGAUGCUAAUACCGCAUACGUCCUACGGGAGAAAGCAGGGGAUCACUUGUGACCUUGCGCUAAUAGAUGAGCCUCAGUCGGAUUAGCUAGUUGGUGGGGUAAAGGCCUACCAAGGCGACGAUCUGUAGCGGGACUGAGAGGAUGAUCCGCCACACUGGGACUGAGACACGGCCCAGACUGCUACGGGAGGCAGCAGUGGGGAAUAUUGGACAAUGGGGGGAACCCUGAUCCAGCCAUGCCGCGUGUGUGAAGAAGGCCUUAUGGUUGUAAAGCACUUUAAGCGAGGAGGAGGCUCUUUUGGUUAAUACCCAAGAUGAGUGGACGUUACUCGCAGAAUAAGCACCGGCUAACUCUGUGCCAGCCGCCGCAGUAA
rnacentral:rRNA from 1 species